CCCCAGGAGCCGGGCUGAGGGCAUCUUGGGAAGAGGGGCCAUAGGCUGGACCCCACCAUCACCACCACCACCACCAAGCCGAUGUCCUCUCUACUCCAUACGCUGGGGGAAACCUAGACCCCGAUUGCAGCCAACCUGGCUGUUCCCCUCUUAUUUCGUAAAAAGGACAGCUGGUUCACUGGUUCUGAGAUACCCUGCCAAAGGAGGUCCUGGUGUCCUAGGCAUCCUGGGCUGUAUUGUCUGGCCACCUUGCUUCCCCUGAGCUCAAGAAGUCUUUGAUGGUUCUCCAGGGAAGCCCAGAGAGCUGCAACUCAGAGCAGAGCUAUUCUCCGUAGGGAAUCUGAGGAGUACAAAAUGAACACAGCCAAACCAGACUGCUGAGUGAAGGGAUAAGAAAACAGAAUUUGACAACCAAAGAACUGGACUCGAGUACUGACCAUCUCUGAGAUGCCUCAGUUUCUUGAACGUUUAAAUGAGAACAAGAAUAUCUGCUUUCAGAAGCUGUUUUUCCUACGUGAAUAUGAGGGGUUAUCAUGCCUUGCCCCAAGUUCCAGUACCACUGAAAGUGGAUGCCCUGACAUUCAGUCUGGAGCAGCCGAACUCAGGGCUAGCACCCAGGCUGGCCUGGUUCCAAUUCAGGUCUCCCUCAUGCACACUUGUGCUGUGUGACCUUGUCAAUUCUUCCCCUAUCUAGGCCUCACUUCUGUCCUCAUCUGUAAAGUGUUGUGAGCACGACAUGGGUGGGUAAAGUGCGUGGAUGGUCUAAGCAAAACACAUCUGAAUGUUUGGCCUGUGGGUUUCCAUCUGUGAUUGCCUGUUAAGGUUGACGCUGCUGAAGAACCCUUGAAGACCAGCUUGGAGACUCUGUGGCAUUUGCACAGCUCACUGCCACCCUCUGCAGGACGCUCUGAUCUCCUGCGCUGCAUGUUCCCUCUCCCAGCAGACCUCAUUUCAUAAACUGGCUCAAUUUGCAGAGGAUGAAACUGCGAUGAGCCUCAUCUCCCUCUGAGCUGGAGGCUAGAGGAAGCAUGCUUCAAGCAGAUGUGAGCAUGUGAACCCCCUCCCAAUCCAACGCCUGUCAUUUAUCAUCUGUCAUCUGACAGUCCAGGGAGCCAGGGGAAAGAUCAGAAAACAGGUCAUCCAUAUAGCUGUUCUCCAGCCCUGCCCACUUGCAAUGCACUGGACAAUGCCUGGGUAGGGCAACUCCUCCAGGCCUGCUGACCCCUGAACAUCUGUAAGACAUCCUUGCCAGUGAGAAAUGAGCAGUUCUGAAUGAGCAGGGCUGUGGGUCCCUCCUCCCAAGCCUGGAGCCUGAGGCUUAUAAGCUCCUAUUUGUGACUCCACCUACCUUCUGCAGAAUCAUUUAUUGAUGAGGCCCCUGCAGCCAAUAUGAUCCCCGUCAAGCUUCCUGAGUGCUAUUUCCAGCCUUUGCAGCAAGAGGAGGAGCUGAGACGAGAUGCAAUGAGCUUGUUUCUAAUGGUAUAGCCAGUGAGAUGAUCCAGGCUCCAGCUUCCAGGGGUGAGAGGCCCACAGCACCCUCAGGGAAGGGGUUCCCUCCAAGUGCAGGGGAAGGAGCCUGAGGCCUGCUUUGCCUCUCAGCCCACCCACCAUAUGUUCUAGAAGACUAGGGGUGAGGAAGCUGAGUGAAAGGCCUGGCCAGGGGCAGAAGCUCUGCACCUGCCUGGGACACAGACUCAGACAGGUGGCUGGUGGCCCUGAAUGCUGGGAAGGCAUCUGGAUGAGGGGGAGGAGGCUGGGAAGGAUCUGUGUUGCCUGGAAGGAGGUGGUGUGACAGUCACAGUUCCCAUCUGUCCAUCAACUUCCCUCAGGGGAAGGCCAGACAUAUGGAAGGUGAUAUGGGGAGACCACAGCAGAUGGCAGAGGAGCCUGGGAGCUGCCAGAAGGGGGUCCUAUCUCAGGGUACUGCUUGAAGCCAUGGGCUUCUUGGAUGGGGCCCAGGGCCCACCCAUACUCACAUCUUGGCCAGAAGAGGAGGGACCCCUCUCAGAGUUAUGUGUUUCCUCUGAAAGUCUGACCUCCCAUGCCCUGGACCUCUGUUACCGCUAUGAGCAUUGGCCAGAGCUGCCUCCUUAUCCCACCUUGCACCUGUGUGGCCCAGAGGUCAUGUCCCUCCCUGACCCUCAGCUCACCUGUGAAAUGUGGCACCCGCGGUGCAGGCUGUGGGAGGAAUAAAUGAAAAAAUGCAGAGACCACCCUGGGGGGCUCUAAGAAGACACGAAUGAGGGAGAAUUAGUGAGUGAAUGGUGACCAUGUGAAUUUAACCAAUACACCUCUAUAUUAACUCAAUACACUUCUAUAAUUUAACCAAUACACCUCUAUAACCUAGAUGAUUGGUUAUCUCAGGUCUCCUGGUAAAGCCACCCUGGGCCUCUCUGUAGAGUGAGGUUCAUCUGGGAGCGGAUCUCACCCAUCCCCCAGGCUAAAGUAUGAGCUGGAAUGAUCCCAGUGGCCUUCCCUUCACUCCAGAGGCCCGAAGCUGAGCUGGGGAGGACAGAGCAGGCAGGCACCCCAGACACAAGACUCAAAGAGGCCGAGAGUGAGGACCCUUCUCUGGUCACUGUAGAGUCUGCAGGGCUGGGGGACAGCCUGACACCAAAGGGAAACAGGGAGCAGGCUGUGAUAGGGGAAGGCAUCGUUGGCUGGUGGACCCUGAAGACAGCUAGGUGUGGUUGAGCCAGUGCAAGUACAUCCUGGUCCAUUUUAUUUUUAUUUUUAAAUUUUAUUUAUUUAGCAGUACUGUACUGAGGCUAGUAAUCCCUGUUCUAGUGGCAAUCUUGGAUGGCCCUGGAUGGAAACACCUGAUUGGGGCACACAUGUAAGGGUCACAGAGUCCCAAGGGUAAUGCCACCUAGAGUGUGAUCUGAAGCUUAGGUGGGGCAGAGGCAGAGGAGGGACCAAGAAUGUGGAGAAGGUGUCAGACCUAUCUUAUCUUUUCAGCUCUUGGUUUCUUCAUCUGUAAGACAAAUAGGUGGAUGGACAGAUAGGUGAUGAGCAAAGGAGCUAAGGGAACCAGGGAAGAGGGAAAAGAUGCUUCUGAAGAACUUGGAUGUGGUUACUUACUGUACCUUGGUACCAGGGGCUGCUUCGCUUGGACCUUCAGGACAAGACUUACAGGUUCUCUUCCCCAGAAAUCUGCUGUGGAAUGUUGAGAUGCUUGAAGAGAAUGUCUUUGUAUCAAAGGAAAAGGGUAGGAACUACACUGAAGUGAUUCUGAGAUGAUGCUUGCUGUGUUUUGGGUUUUUUUUCUUCAGUGCUGGGGAUCAAACCCAGGGCCUCACAUAUGCUAGACAAGCAUUCUGCCACUGAACUAUGCACCCUUAUUUGAUAUAGUUUGAAUGCCCCCCUCCAAAACACAAUGUUGAAAUUUAAUCCCCAAUGCAAAUGUUGGGAAGUGUAGUCUACUAAGAGGUGUUUAGACUUCACAAAUACGUUAAUGUAAUUUAUCACAAGACUGGUUUGUUAAAAAGAUUGAGUUCAAGUCCCCUCUUGACCUUACUCUGGUGCAUCUGCUAUGAUAUGAUGUGGCAUGAAGGCCCUUGCCAAAUGAUACCAUCUUCUUUGACUUCUCAGCCACCAGAACCAUGAGCUAAAUAAACUUCUGUUUAUAAUUUAUCUGGUCUGUGGGUCUCAGUUGUAGCAGCACAAAUACACCAAGACAAC
ensembl:lncRNA